AUGGUGAAUGGCUGGAAAGAGAAAAGAUUGUCCCUUGGGGGCAAGGAAGUGCUUCUGAAAUCGAUUGCUUCGGCAAUCCCAACAUAUGCAAUGUUCGUCCUGAUGCUCCCAAAUAAAAUUUAA
rnacentral:rRNA from 1 species